UCCUUCUUAGCUCAGUUGGUAGAGCGCGUCACUAGUAUGUAUAUUAUCCACUAUGACGAGGUCAGUUGUUCAAGUCGGCUAGAAGGAA
rnacentral:tRNA from 1 species